GAUGAAGAACGCAGUGAAAUGCGAUAAGUAAUGUGAAUUGCAGAAUUCAGUGAAUCAUCGAAUCUUUGAACGCACAUUGCGCCCUUUGGCAUUCCGAAGGGCACACCUGUCCGAGCGCCGUCGCACAACUGAGGCGCAGCCUUGCGUUGGCGGGCGACUUGUGAGUAGCGAGUCGCCGCCCAAACGAGACGGCGCCGCGCCGCGGCCGACGAAGCACGAAAGCGGAAGUCGACGCGGAGGCGGUUGCCUGUAGGAAGACACAGCUUGGCCUCGGAUCAGGUGGGGAUACCCGCUGAACUUAAGCAUAUCAAUAAGCGGAGGA
rnacentral:misc_RNA from 1 species